CGCGUAGGUGGUAGUGUAAGCCUGGGGUGGAAUCCCAGGGCUCAACCCUGGAACUGCCUUGGAAACUGCAUUACUUGAGUCAGUGAGGGGAGGGUAGAAUUCCUGGUGUAGCGGUGAAAUGCGUAGAUAUCAGGAGGAAGGCCUGUGGCGAAGGCGGCCCUCUGGCGCUGGACUGACACUGAGGCGCGAAAGCGUGGGGAGCAAACAGGAUUAGAUACCCUGGUAGUCCACGCCCUAAACGGUGGGCACUAGGUGUAGGGCUCGUAAGGGUUCUGUGCCGAAGGGAAACCAUUAAGUGCCCCGCCUGGGGAGUACGGCCGCAAGGUUGAA
rnacentral:rRNA from 1 species